rnacentral:lncRNA from 1 species
UGCCUCGGCCUCCCAAAGUGCUGGGAUUACAGACGUGAGCCACUGCGCCCGGCUUCUCAAAGGGAUUUUACGCCCAUGGUUGGGUUCUGUCUUAUAGCAAGCUGACCUGAAGAUAGGGAAAGUAUUUGAGUGUGAGCCUUGCCCUAACCACAUGAGCCUAUUCAAAGUAGUUUUCUGCUGGUAGAAGAGGAGGAAGUCAGGGAUUUGAAGCAUGUGGGGGAUUCAGCACAUGAGAAAUCCUCUGUUGUUGACUUGAAGAUGGAGGGAGCCCCAUGGCAAGGAAGGUGGACGGCCUCUAGGAGCCGUGAGAGGACCUGGCUUACAGCCAGCCAGCGAGGACAUGGGGACCUCAGUCCCACAGCCGCAAGGAUUGGAAUUCUGCCAACAAGUGGAGCUUGGAAGCCAAUUCUUCCCCAGAACCGGCAGAAAGGAACGCAACCUGGUAGAUGCCUCAAUUUCAGCCCUCUGGGACCCGGAGCAAAAAAACCCAGCCACACAGAACCUGGACUUCUGACUGCCAGAACUGGGAGCUAAUGAAUACAUGGCACAGAGUUGGUGGGCGCCUGAGAGAGCUACUCAGCUGUGAGGUCCUUCCCCUGGACUUGAGCACAGGCCUUCUGGCUCAGGGUGCUGAGGGAUGGUGCUCCCCUGUGAGGGGGGUGCCCGGGGCACCCCAGCCUCCCUCAGGAACUCCCAGGCCCCUCAGAAGCAGGAAGUUGGGCUGACCAAAGCUGUGGUAGCUCAGCUAUAUACAUGGCCCCUCUUGACCCUUCUCUGUGAACUGAGGUGCUCUACCUGACGGCCUCUUCACCAAGGGAAAAUGCUUCAGGCAUUUGGGAGCGUGCACCCUGAGAAGGCCUCAGCAAGUUUUUGGAGAUUGUCAUUCACAGAAACGGGGUCCCAUUAUAUUGUCCAGGCUGGUCUCAAACUCCUGGGCUCGAGUGAUCUGCCCGCCUCAGCCUCUCAAAUUGUUGGGAUUACAGGCAUGAGCCGCCGCACCCGGCCUGACGAGGCUUCUUGCUGCACUUAAAGGAAUGACAGCUAUAGAGGGCAUAUGGGACUGGAAGGCAUCGGAUCCAUAACAUCCUUACGCCUUCUGGAAAUGUGAAAAAUGUUUCACAAAAGCACAGCCUAAGGCCUCAUGUGAUGAGGUGGGCUCUCCACAAGUUCCUGGGGCAGAGUCUGAAGACCUGCUGCUGGGUAGGGGCUUCCUCCUGGUCCCCAAGGGCCCACUCUCUCAGGCCCACCUUGAGGCCACCCUGCUGGGCCACUUCCCGGAUUUUGGACAGCAUUGAUUGGAGCCGCCCGUUCUCCUCCUGUAGGACCCGGAUGCGGAUGUCGUUGGCCUGCACUUGCCUCUCCAUGUGAUCUGUGACGUUGCCAGAGUCUGUGGGACAUGUUAUCUGGGAUUCCACGCUGCUGGAUCUGCCUCCUGUGCCCAAUGGGACAGGACCUUAGAAGGGAGGCACACCAGCUUGGGCGGGUGGCCUGGAGGCACAAAGGAGCUGUGUAGUGCACCAGGCCUCCUAGCUCAUCUUCUCCCGAGGCCUUAUUCCCCCUUCCCUGUCCCCCAACCUGCGGGGAAGAUGACCAUAGUAUUAUAAAAUCUGAGAGCUGGGUGGGACCUAGAGCUCUCAAAAGACUUAGCAAGGCCGGGCGCGGUGGCUCAUGCCUGUAAUCCCAGCACUUUGGGAGGCCCAGGUCAGGGGAUCAUUAAGUCAAGAGAUCAAGACCAUCCUGGCCAACAUGGUGAAACCCCGUCUCUACUAAAAAUAGAAAAAUGAGCUGGGUGUGGUGGCGGGCCCCCGUAGUCCCAGCUACUCGGGAGGCUGAGGCAGGAGAAUCACUUGAACCCAGGAGGUGG